rnacentral:tRNA from 1 species
UGGGGCGUAGCCAAGUGGUAAGGCAGUGGGCUCUGAACCCAUGAGCACUGGUUCGAUCCCAGUCGCCCCAACCA